GGUCACUGUAAUGAAGGAGAGAAGUCAACAAAAGAAGCACAGAGCUGUACAGUCACCCUCCCAUUGUUUUCAGUUUUUGGCUAGCACAAUCUCAGAAAAUUAUCAGGAAACAAGAACAGCUUUUUAAAAAAUAAAUAAAUAAAGAUUCUUAUUUAAUUGAAUGGUGAGCCUUAUAUGUGUCAUGUGUCCUAAACUCAAAUUUUGUUCUACGUGUCUUCAUAGACAUCUUUUAUACUUCAUUGGCUGAUAUUUUUCUGUAGUUAUAUUGCUGCAAGUAAUCUAUUAAGGUUUAGAUUCAAGAUUCUCCCAGUUGUUAUUCUGAAGACAUAACCAAAAGCUUCAAGGCACUCCUCUUUUUGAAAGAGUAAAUCUCAAGUGCUUGAAAAUUCAACAUGGAUUAGAACUUGGCAGAAGAGACUGACCUCUUGUUUAUAUGACCCCUGUAAAAGACUGAUGUGUGAGUUUCACAAGAGUGUACAUAAUCCACACAGAAGUAUUGCUGAAAAAUUAUUGUGCUCUUCCUGUAACGUGGGGAAAACCACCAGUGAUUCAUAGGAAUGUCUGACCCCAGGAAUCAGAAUUCUGUACAGACUUGAAAUUAUAAGUGCAAAAUAUGUGCUUUUGCUUGAUUUUUUAAAUAAACCUUUCACUACUAGGUGUUUUAUAUUUUUCUAAAAUGUAGUUAAAUGUAGUGUAGUGAAAUAAAUAGUUAUACCAUGGUCUGGGAAGGGAAAGGAAAAAGAAAAUGUGUUGUUCCCAGCCCAAAUAAUUUUCCAGGUUAACUUGGUUGAGAGCCAUUUUAUCUUCUGCUGGAUUUGGCUUGAUGUGUUUUCAGGCAAUACUUUCUUCUCCCUUCACCUAGCCUACAGUUAAGUCUCUGUAGAAAGCUUUUUUGUUGUUGCUGUUGUUGUUAAAUAAGUUAAAAUACCAAGGAAAUAGUGGAAAAGAUUCCUGUAAUUUAUAUGUUCGCCUGGUGAUGGUUUUCUGUCUGCUCUUUAAUUUCUUUCACUUUGUGAAGUUUUGAGAACAAGCAGCCAGUUUUGGUUCCAGGCAAAUCAUCUUUAUUUUGGAAGUCUUCCAAUGGAGAAAAAUUGAGUUUUUCCUCUUUUUCCUUUCAUUGCCUUUUUGGAGGGAAGAAAAAAAAGUUGUAACUUAGAAAAUAUACUACAUGAACUAAACAAAAGCGAUUUAAGUAUUUCAUGACUCGGGCAAAUAAAACCAUCUUAAAAAAGAAAAACACCUCUCUGAAUAGCUAAUUGCACAAUCUUAAAAUCAAGAAGCUUCAUUUUGAUCAACUCUGAAGAGCAAGUUUAUACCUGCCAGUGAUGUAAUUGGGGCAGGGUUGGGUUGAUUUUUUUUUUUCCUUUAUGCAAUUCACAUAGGUGUGAGUUGAAUUGAGAUGGGAUAGGUGAGUUGAAUUGAGAACUUGGGAGACAAAAGUGAAAGGAGAAUUUGAAAAAGAAACAUUUAGAAUAAAAUUAGAAUUUUCAAUAUUAUGAAGAGCACACAACAUAAUACAAGACAUGAAAAUAAUUCGUAAAAUACAGAGCAGCCCAAAUGAAGAAUGAGAAGACAGAUGAAUUGGAAAUUUCUUCUAGGCCCUACUGCAGUAAUCUAGUCAUGGCAAAUUCUUGGAACAGCACUGAGUAGAAAAACUCAUUUAUUUCCAAGAGUGAAAUUUCUUGGACUACAAGAAAGCUUUGGAUUGCAAAUUGGAUUUUUAUAAUGAGAUUUAUGACUAUUUAUCCUUUGGAUUAAAGAAAAGUAGAAAAAUUCUACUUUAAAAAUAUGUGAUUAAAUGUUUUCUUGAAAAGUAUGGAAAAAGCUAGGAUACUGAAUUUAAAUAAAUUAUUAUGUGAUGACAACUUUAAGGAUAUGCUAACUUCAAACUUAAUUUGGGAAUUUUUGGAGGUGGCAUCUGUACUGGCACUGGGGCUGAAGAAGAGGCCCAGAGCUUUCAGCAUUUUUGGCCAGUUGAAUCCUCAGAUCUCUACUUCAGCCCACUGCUGCUACCAUCUCAAGCUCCCUACAUUGCAGUCAGCCACCCCAGUGGGAGAAAUGUCAUGCAGUUUGGAGAAAGGCAGGUGCAAGAUUUUGAAAGGUCUCAGAAGCCUUCUGAAGCAUUAGUGAAAGGACAUGUGCAAUUUGAAGAAUGUUACAUCUUGCCUGUGGAAGAAGGCCUAGUGCUUUCAGCAAUUGCCAAUAAUAUGGCCCAGGCUGAGCUUGCCUCAUCAGUAGUAGGGAAAAGGAUAGCAAAGGUCAGCUGGGUGUGGCAGGACUGGUAGAGUACAAAGUGACCGAGGCAGCUGGGUCUUUGCAUCUGGCUUUGGAACAGCUGGCUGCCACAUGAGACUUGAGGCAAUACUCCUUGGCAGAGGACCUUUGUCGGGGGCAUUGCUGCUCAGGUAGAGGCCCAGGGCAGCAGUGCUUGGCUGAGACUACUGAAGGCCCAAGGCCUUUACUUCCAUCUCAAUAUUGAAGUGCAUAAGUAAUCAUUCACUUAUGACCACAGUUGUGACCAGUAUUUCCUUCACUAAACAAUGUGUUUGUUAAGUGAGUCAUGCUUGGUUUUACUACCUUUCGGCUAUAUCGGUGAUGGCUAUCCUUUUUGCCAUCAUGUGCCAAAAGCAGGGGUCGCACGGGUGUGUGUUGCACACGUGCAUGCCCACAUCAUGUGCCGAAAGCAGGGGUCGCAGGGAUGUGUGUUGCGCGCGUGCAUGCCCACACCCAUAACUCAAUGCGCCCCAUACAUGCACAUAUGCCUCUUCGUGCUCGCACUGCUUUUGGCAUGUGAUGGCAUGGUGGCCCCAGUAGACCAAUUUUUCACUCUCCCCAAGCUGCAGAGGUUUUCUAGGAGAUUGGGGAGGACGAAAAUGGCCUUCCCCCCUCCCCGGAGGCCCUCUGGAGGUUGGAAAUGGCCCAUUUCCCGACUUCCGGUGGGACCAGAAGGCCUGUUUUUUUGCCCUCCCCAAGCUCCAGAGGGUUUCAAGAACCUAGGGAAGGUGAAAAUGGCCUUCCCCAUCCCCCAGAGGCUCUCCAGAGGCAGGAAACAACCCAUUUCCUAACUUCCAGUGGGUCCAGAGGCCUGAAAAUUAGCUGGCUGGCAUGCGCUAGAGCUGAGCUAGGGCAACACUUGCAUGCCCACAGAUAUGGCUACAUGUGCCAGGUUCGCUAUCAUAGGGCUAUAUCAUUAAGUAAACCAGGGUUCCUCCAUUAACUUUGCUUGUCCAAAGCCUCCAUUUAUUUAGUGACCAUCUGAAAUUAUGACAGCACUGAAUAAAGCUGAGAUGACUGAGCCUUGGACUCUCCAGUUACAUGAUAAAAAUGGUGUCACAAAUAGUAAUCAUGUGACCCAGUAUUCUGCAACCAUUGUAAAUAUAUUCCAGUUGCCCAGUGCCCAAAUUUUGAUCAUGUACAGUAUCUCACAGAAGUGAGUACACCCCCUCACAUAUUGUAAAUAUUUACUGUAAUUUACUUUUCAUAUGACAACAUUGAAUAACACUUGGCUACAAUGUAAAGUAGUGAGUAUGCAGUGUAAAUGUGUGGCCCCCUCAAAAUAACGCAACACAAAACCAUUAAUGUCUAAACUGCUGGCAACAAAAGUGAGUACACUCCUAAGUGAUAAUGUCCAAAUAAAGUCCAAAGUAUCAAUCUUUUGUGUGGUCAUUUACACUGUUAUACAAGCUGUAUACUCACUACUUUACAUUGUAGCCAAGUGUCAUUUCUUCAGUGUUGUCAUAUGAAAAGAUAUACUUAAAUACCUAAGUUUGGGGUGCACAAUGUGUUUUGCAGGCCUGCAGAGUGCUCCUGGGGGCUGAGGAAGACAAAAAUGCCCUUGUUUUUGGCCUCCCAACACCCACCCCCUGCGUCACAUUUUUGUCCUCUCCGGCCCCCAGGAGCACUCUGCAGGCCUUCCAAACACUCAGCGCUCUGUUUUUGCAAAAACUGGGCCCAUUUUUGGUCUCCCAAACCCCCACGUGUCGCGUUUUUGCUUUCCCCAGCCCUAGGAGCACUAUGCAAGCCCCAUUUUUGAGAAAAAAGGGCCUGUUUUGAUGAAAACAGGAUGCAUGAGGCGGGGUUUCAGGAGGCCAAAAAUGGCUGCAUUCGGUAUAUAAAAUGCACCAACAUUUCCACCCUCUUUUGGGGGGGGAGUGUGUCUUAUACUCUGAAAAGUACGGUAUUUAUAAAAUGUGAGGUGAUGUACUCACUUCUGUGACAUAUUGCAACUGUGGAGAGUGCAACGCUUGGUCAUGUCAUCUUUUUUCAGUGCUGUCAUCAUUUCAAAUAGUCACUAAAUAAACAGUCAUAAGUUAACAACUAUCUUUCACUAAGCCUUAUAAAUUUCCAAGAACUAGAUUACAAUUAUACAUUAGAAGCUGCCUCAGGGUUGUAAAUAUCUUCAUUAAAAGCUUAAUGUCUACUAUUAACUGAAGAGAUGGAUGCCGGAGAAGCUGAAAAAUGUACUACAUUUUUCUAAAUACAAUGUAUUAUUGUAUUGUAAUAUUGUAUUUUAAAUGUACUAUUACUAUAAAUAAAUUUUCCUGAAAAAUGUACUAUGGUAAUCUCCUCUAUUUUUCUAUAAAAAUGUUUGUGAUAUGUUGUGAUUUUUUUUUCCUCCUCAACUUUAACUUUCCUGGGAGAGUUGGAUGCUUGCAGCUGUGCAAAUUGGCAUGCUGCUGCUUCUUCAACAACAGAUGGUUCUUACUGAAAUGCUCAAUAAUACAGUUGUGUUCUGGCCAGAUGUUGGAGCAUCUUCAAACUCAUAAAAACAAUGUUUUUUUAAUUCCAUUCAAUUCUUUGUAAAUUAAUUUUACACUUUUAUUGAAGUAUUGCACAUUUCAACUUGAAAUGUUGCGCAUCUGAAUGAGCAACGUAUUUCUUUACUUGCUUCUUUCAUCUUCUAGCCUUAAAAAUGCAGUUUUUAAAAAUGAAGUUGUAGGAAUUGAGGUGGUUAUCUCCCCAGACUCUCUUUUAGUUAUGUUAUUUUUUUCCAAUGCAUCAAUGAGGUUAUAGUACUCUUUUCAUGUAUUGUCUAGCAGACCCAGUAUUGGA